rnacentral:rRNA from 1 species
GAUGAACGCUGGCGGCGUGCCUAAUACAUGCAAGUCGAGCGAAUGGAUUAAGAGCUUGCUCUUAUGAAGUUAGCGGCGGACGGGUGAGUAACACGUGGGUAACCUGCCCAUAAGACUGGGAUAACUCCGGGAAACCGGGGCUAAUACCGGAUAACAUUUUGAACCGCAUGGUUCGAAAUUGAAAGGCGGCUUAGGCUGUCACUUAUGGAUGGACCCGCGUCGCAUUAGCUAGUUGGUGAGGUAACGGCUGACCAAGGCAACGAUGCGUAGCCGACCGGAGAGGGUGAUCGGCCACACUGGGACUGAGACACGGCCCAGACGCCUACGGGAGGCAGUAGUAGGGAAUCUUCCGCAAUGGACGAUAGUCUGAAGGAGCAACGCCGCGUGAGUGAUGAAGGCUUUCGGGUCGUAAAACUCUGUUGUUAGGGAAGAACAAGUGCUAGUUGAAUAAGCUGGCGCCUUGACGGUACCUAACCAGAGAGCCACGGCUAACUACGUGCCAGCAGCCGCCGCCG